CCUCCCGAGUGCUUGCACUCAAUUGGAAAGAGGAGUGGCGGACGGGUGAGUAACACGUGGGUAACCUACCCAUCAGAGGGGGAUAACACUUGGAAACAGGUGCUAAUACCGCAUAACAGUUUAUGCCGCAUGGCAUAAGAGUGAAAGGCGCUUUCGGGUGUCGCUGAUGGAUGGACCCGCGGUGCAUUAGCUAGUUGGUGAGGUAACGGCUCACCAAGGCCACGAUGCAUAGCCGACCUGAGAGGGUGAUCGGCCACACUGGGACUGAGACACGGCCCAGACUCCUACGGGAGGCAGCAGUAGGGAGUCUUCGGCAAUGGACGAAAGUCUGACCGAGCAACGCCGCGUGAGUGAAGAAGGGUUUCGGAUCGUAAAACUCUGUUGUUAGAGAAGAACAAGGACGUUAGUAACUGAACGUCCCCUGACG
rnacentral:rRNA from 1 species